AGGGCUGGCUGGAAGGUUUUUCG
rnacentral:miRNA from 1 species